UGGAUCAAUGAUGAGAGUUCUGGGGUAUAUGAAUCAAGAAUUUUGAUUAAACCCUAACUCUGAGGUCCAU
ensembl:snoRNA SNORD113-1 small nucleolar RNA, C/D box 113-1